rfam:Camelus ferus unplaced genomic scaffold scaffold350, whole genome shotgun sequence.
GACGGUAUAGCUCAAUUGGUAGAGCACAUGCUUAGCACGCAUGAGGUUCUGGGUUCAAUCCCCAGUGCCACCU